UACGAGGGGGGCAAGCGUUGUUCGGAAUUAUUGGGCGUAAAGGGCGCGUAGGCGGCAAUUCAAGUCAGUUGUGAAAUCUCCGGGCUUAACUCGGAACGGUCAACUGAUACUGCUUUGCUAGAGUACAGAAGGGGCAAUCGGAAUUCUUGGUGUAGCGGUGAAAUGCGUAGAUAUCAAGAGGAACACCUGAGGUGAAGACGGGUUGCUGGGCUGAUACUGACGCUGAGGCGCGAAAGCUAGGGUAGCAAACGGG
rnacentral:rRNA from 1 species